UGGGGUGUAGCCAAGUGGUAAGGCAGCGGAUUUUGAUUCCGCCAUGCGGAGGUUCGAACCCUCCCACCCCAGCCA
rnacentral:tRNA from 1 species